UACGGAGGGUGCAAGCGUUAAUCGGAAUUACUGGGCGUAAAGCGUGCGUAGGCGGUUCGUUAAGUCUGUUGUGAAAGCCCCGGGCUCAACCUGGGAAUGGCAAUGGAUACUGGCGAGCUAGAGUGUGUCAGAGGAUGGUGGAAUUCCCGGUGUAGCGGUGAAAAUGCGUAGAGAUCGGGAGGAACAUCAGUGGCGAAAGCGGCUUACUGGUGCUCUGACGCUGAUGCACGAAAGCUAGGGGUAGCAAA
rnacentral:rRNA from 1 species